CAGGAUUCUGAUACACACCCGGAACCUCAACUCCACUGUUGCAUCUGGGACUACAAGGAAAAGGCAAUAUAAACAGGAUGAGAGCUUCAUCUGAACAAACAGACACGAUAGGCAGCAUUUGAAAGCAACUCCUCACUUUGUAUGGGCAACAGGGCAGCCAUUCAACCCCAACAAGCAAGAAUGUCUCCCACUACUCAAUGCAAUGCAAAUCACAAGUGAAACUUAUGGCAGCAGUGACCAGUAGGAAGAAAACUGCUUAUCUUCAAAUGUUGCCACAUUUUUGUUCUAGAGUGCUCUUGUGCCUUUCCUGCAAGACAACCAGUAAUGCAACAGCUGCAGUAUUACUCAUCCCAGUGAUGGGGCCAGCUGCAGCUUUUAUACCUCUGCCUCUCAUUCAGCAGUUAAAGGCAAACGGGCCUUCCAGGAACAAAAGGUCAACAACU